rnacentral:rRNA from 1 species
UACGUAGGGUGCAAGCGUUGUCCGGAAUUAUUGGGCGUAAAGAGCUCGUAGGCGGUCUGUCGCGUCUGCUGUGAAAACCCGGAGCUCAACUCCGGGCCUGCAGUCGAUACGGGCAAACUGGAGUACUGCAGGGGAGACUGGAAUUCCUGGUGUAGCGGUGAAAUGCGCAGAUAUCAGGAGGAACACCAAAGGCGAAGGCAGUGUCCUGGGGAGUACCUGACGCUCAGGUGCGAAAGCCAGGGGAGCGAACGGG